CCUACGGGAGGCAGCAGUGAGGAAUAUUGGUCAAUGGUCGGGAGACUGAACCAGCCAAGCCGCGUGAGGGAUGAAGGUACAGAGUAUCGUAAACCUCUUUUGUCAGGGAACAAAGGCGGGGACGUGUCCCCGGAUGAGUGUACCUGAAGAAAAAGCAUCGGCUAACUCCGGGCCAGCAGCCGCGGUAAUACGGAGGAUGCGAGCGUUAUCCGGAUUUAUGGGGUUUAAAGGGUGCGCAGGUGGUCUGUUAAGUCAGCGGUCAAAGCCCGGGGCUCAACCCCGGCCCGCCGUUGAAACUGGGAGUCUCGAGUUGGAGAGAAGUAUGCGGAAUGCGCGGUGUAGCGGUGAAAUGCAUAGAUAUCGAGCAGAACUCCGAUUGCGAAGGCAGCAUGCCGGCUCCACACUGACGCUGAGGCACGAAAGCGUGGGUAUCGAACAGGAUUAGAUACCCGUGUAGUC
rnacentral:rRNA from 1 species